AUUGAACGCUGGCGGCAUGCUUUACACAUGCAAGUCGAACGGCAGCACGGGGGCAACCCUGGUGGCGCGUGGCGCACGGGUGAGUAAUACAUCGGAACGUGCCCGGUCGUGGGGGAUAACGUAGCGAAAGUUACGCUAAUACCGCAUACGAUCUGAGGAUGAAAGCGGGGGACCUUCGGGCCUCGCGCGAUCGGAGCGGCCGAUGUCAGAUUAGGUAGUUGGUGGGGUAAAGGCCUACCAAGCCGACGAUCUGUAGCUGGUCUGAGAGGACGACCAGCCACACUGGGACUGAGACACGGCCCAGACUCCUACGGGAGGCAGCAGUGGGGAAUUUUGGACAAUGGGCGCAAGCCUGAUCCAGCCAUUCCGCGUGCAGGACGAAGGCCUUCGGGUUGUAAACUGCUUUUGUAUGGAACGAAAAGGCUCUGGCUAAUACCUGGGGCUCAUGACGGUACCGUAAGAAUAAGCACCGGCUAACUACGUG
rnacentral:rRNA from 1 species